AAAUCAAGUUUUCAAAAUUUAAAAAAAAAUAUAUUCUUUGAUAAUCGAGAUUACUUAUUCACUAAGAAAGACCAUGAUUAGCGUCGAAAUGAUUUUGUGACGUUACGAUUAAAUUCUUAGAAUUUUUCGAAAAAAAAAAUCGAAAACCAGACGAUCGAUCACCGCGAGACUUGUUUCGGCGUAUACCCGUACCAAUUCCUACACUCACCCACACUAGAAUAUUUUUUCCUCCUCCUCUCCCCCUCUCUGCCAUCUCUCACCCGAGCACACCCCCCUCUCUCUUUUCUUCUCCUUUCCAGCCUAUUGCCCUGCAAAAGAAAAAAAAACCUAGCUGGCAACAGCUAUCUCCAGCUGCCACCAGCUAGCUCCAGCCAUCCACCACCACCUCUGCCAUCUCUCUCCUCUCCUUUUCUCUCCAAACCUCUAUAAAUACCACCCUUCCCCUCUCCAUCCGAACCACAACAAACUCAACCCUCUCUCACCCUUUUGUGUGUCCAUAAACCAGUAGAGAAAUUAGAAGAGAGACCGAGUUCCGGCCAUGGCCGUUUAGAGAGAGAAACCGAGAAAUAAAAGUGGGUUUUCCACUUGCACCACCUCUUAAUCCGAAUUACCACUUCCAAACAUCCAUAACCACCUCAAGAAACUCAGGACCCUCCUCCAAUACCCCAGAGCCGAGCCGAUCAGCCGUGCUCCGGUCGUUUCUCCGGCGAGCCGAAAAUUUCAAAAACUCGUUUAAAACUUGUUUUGAUCAAACCGAAGGUAUCUGCAGGUAACGAUGGCAUAGAAGAUCAGCCUUGCGAGCCAGAUCCGUACUAUUCAGGAGAGAUACCAGGGGCAGAGACUGAGCAAGAUUAUGCUUGGAAUCCAUAUCAGAACUAGUGUCGCUCUGAGUUAUUGCUCUGUGACGUCAUGUCACCCAAAGGCCUCCGUACAUGUGGGGUAGAGCAUAUUAAUGUCAACCUUAAGCUGUAAUAAGGAGAUAUUGUUCCGUAUUUUGUAAUAAUAAGAAUAUUAUUUAUGCUAA